GACGGCUUCCCCACGGGAGGACGCGAGGCCCCGGCCCAGCCAUGGCCCCCUGGCGUAAAGCUGACAAGGAGCGGCACGGCGUGGCCAUAUACAACUUCCAAGGCAGCGGAGCCCCCCAGCUCUCCCUGCAGAUCGGCGAUGUGGUGCGAAUACAGGAGACGUGUGGAGACUGGUAUAGGGGAUACCUCAUAAAGCACAAAAUGUUACAGGGCGUUUUUCCUAAGUCAUUUAUCCACAUCAAGGAAGUGACAGUUGAGAAAAGAAGAAAUACUGAGAACAUCAUUCCUGCAGAAAUUCCUCUGGCACAAGAAGUGACAACGACACUUUGGGAAUGGGGAAGCAUCUGGAAACAACUCUAUGUGGCCAGCAAAAAGGAGCGUUUUCUCCAGGUGCAGUCCAUGAUGUACGAUCUGAUGGAGUGGAGGUCCCAGCUUCUCUCAGGAACCUUACCCAAGGAUGAGCUGAAGGAACUGAAGCAGAAAGUCACGUCCAAAAUUGACUAUGGCAACAAUUUUUGCUUUACAGAAUCCUUGAGCUUGAUUUGAUUGUCAGAGAUGAAGACGGAAAUAUCUUGGACCCUGAUAAUACCAGUGUCAUCAGCUUGUUCCAUGCACAUGAGGAAGCAACUGAUAAAAUCACAGAGCGUA
rnacentral:sRNA from 1 species